UGCAAGUCGAGCGCGAAAGGAGACUUCGGUCUCCGAGUAGAGCGGCGGACGGGUGAGUAACACGUGGGUAAUCUGCCUCCGGGUGGGGAAUAACCCAGGGAAACUUGGGCUAAUACCGCAUGUCGUCCGAGGCCAUGAGGCCAAGGAUGAAAGCCGGGGACCCUUCGGGGCCUGGCGCCUGGAGAGGAGCCCGCGGCCAAUUAGCUUGUUGGUGAGGUAACGGCUCACCAAGGCUUCGAUUGGUAGCCGGCCUGAGAGGGCGGACGGUCACACUGGAACUGAGACACGGUCCAGACUCCUACGGGAGGCAGCAGUGAGGAAUUUUGGUCAAUGGGGGAAACCCUGAACCAGCAACGCCGCGUGGAGGACGAAGACCCUCGGGUUGUAAACUCCUGUCGGACGGAACGAAACCCGUCGGGGCGAAUACCCCCGGCGACUGACGGUACCGUACGAGGAAGCCCCGGCUAACUUCGUGCCAGCAGCCGCGGUAAUACGAGGGGGGCAAGCGUUGUUCGGAAUUACUGGGCGUAAAGGGCGCGCAGGCGGUUCGGCAAGUCUCUCGUGAAAUCCCACGGCUCAACCGUGGAACCGCGGGAGAAACUGCCGGACUCGAGUCCGGGAGGGGGGAGUGGAAUUCCCAGUGUAACGGUGAAAUGUGCAGAUAUUGGGAGGAACACCGGAGGCGAAGGCGUCUCCCUGGACCGGUACUGACGCUGAGGCGCGAAAGCCA
rnacentral:rRNA from 1 species